GGCCUAACACAUGCAAGUCGAACGCCCUACUUUGUAGGGAGUGGCAGACGGGUUAGUAACGCGUGGGAACCUACCUAGUAGUAUGGAAUAGCCUCGGGAAACUGGGAUUAAUACCAUAUACGCCCUUCGGGGGAAAGAUUUAUCGCUAUUAGAUGGGCCCGCGUUAGAUUAGUUAGUUGGUGGGGUAAUGGCCUACCAAGACUACGAUCUAUAGCUGGUUUGAGAGGAUGAUCAGCAACACUGGGACUGAGACACGGCCCAGACUCCUACGGGAGGCAGCAGUGGGGAAUAUUGGACAAUGGGCGCAAGCCUGAUCCAGCCAUGCCGCGUGAGUGAUGAAGGCCCUAGGGUUGUAAAGCUCUUUCAAUGGUGAAGAUAAUGACGGUAACCAUAGAAGAAGCCCCGGCUAACUUCGUGCCAGCAGCCGCGGUAACACGAAGGGGGCUAGCGUUGUUCGGAAUUACUGGGCGUAAAGCGCACGUAGGCGGAUUGAUAAGUUAGGGGUGAAAUCCCGAGGCUCAACCUCGGAACUGCCUUUAAUACUGUCAGUCUCGAGUCCGGAAGAGGUGAGUGGAAUUCCUAGUGUAG
rnacentral:rRNA from 1 species